rnacentral:rRNA from 1 species
AGCAGCCGCGGUAAUUCCAGCUCCAAUAGCGUAUAUUAAAGUUGUUGCAGUUAAAAAGCUCGUAGUUGAAUUUCGGGGUUAGUAGGUCGGUCAUGCCACUGGUAUGUACUGGUCUCACUGAUUCCUCCUUCCUGAUGAACCGUAAUGCCAUUAAUUUGGUGUUGCGGGGAGACUGGACUGUUACUUUGAAAAAAUUAGAGUGUUUAAAGCAGGCUAACGCUUGAAUACAUUAGCAUGGAAUAAUGAAAUAGGACGUUCGAUCCUAUUUUGUUGGUUUCUAGGAUUGACGUAAUGAUUAAUAGGGAUAGUUGGGGGCAUUAGUAUUCAAUUGUCAGAGGUGAAAUUCUUGGAUUUAUUGAAGACUAACUACUGCGAAAGCAUUUGCCAAGGAUGUUUUCAUUAAUCAAGAACGAAAGUUAGGGGAUCGAAGACGAUCAGAUACCGUCGUAG